AACGAGGCGAACUCGGGGAACUGAAACAUCUAAGUACCCGAAGGAAGAGAAAUCAACCGAGAUUCCGAAAGUAGCGGCGAGCGAAAUUGGAUUAGCCCUUAAGCUUUUAAUGAUGCAGGUGAAGACUCUGGAAAGUGUCGCAGCAAAGGGUGAUAGCCCCGUAACCGACGCAUCAUAAUCAGUGAAAUCGAGUAGGGCGGGACACGUGAUAUCCUGUCUGAAUAUGGGGGGACCAUCCUCCAAGGCUAAAUACUACUGACUGACCGAUAGUGAACCAGUACCGUGAGGGAAAGGCGAAAAGAACCCCUGUGAGGGGAGUGAAAUAGAACCUGAAACCGUGUACGUACAAGCAGUAGGAGCACCUUCGUGGUGUGACUGCGUACCUUUUGUAUAAUGGGUCAGCGACUUAUAUUCAGUGGCAAGGUUAACCGUUUAGGGGAGCCGUAGGGAAACCGAGUCUUAACUGGGCGACACAGUCUCUGGAUAUAGACCCGAAACCGAGUGAUCUAGCCAUGGGCAGGUUGAAGGUUGAGUAACAUCAACUGGAGGACCGAACCGACUAAUGUUGAAAAAUUAGCGGAUGACUUGUGGCUAGGGGUGAAAGGCCAAUCAAACUCGGAGAUAGCUGGUUCUCCCCGAAAUCUAUUUAGGUAGAGCCUCGGACGAAUACUACUGGGGGUAGAGCACUGUUAAGGCUAGGGGGUCAUCCCGACUUACCAACCCUUUGCAAACUCCGAAUACCAGUAAGUACUAUCCGGGAGACACACGGCGGGUGCUAACGUCCGUCGU
rnacentral:rRNA from 1 species